AUGGCUCGAACUAAGUGCACAGCCCGUAAGUCCACCGGCGGAAAGGCUCCGACGAAGCACCUUGCUGCCGCUCGUAAGACUGCUCCCGCCACUAGAGGAGUGAAGAAGCCUCGCCGAUAUCGCCCUGGAACUGUUGCUCUUGGUGAAAUCCGCAAAUAUCAGAAGGGCACGGAGCUACUUAUAAGGAAGCUACCGUUCCAGAGACUUGUCAGGGAGAUUGCCCAAUUUUGCAAGAGUGAUCUACAUUUCCAGAGCCAUGUUGUGCUUGCUUUGCUGGAGGCAGCCGAAGCAUACUUGGUGGGACUGUUUGAAGACAAUAAUCUAUGUGCCGUCCAUGCUAAACGUGUGACCACUAUGUCCAAAGAUGUGUAUUUGGCUAGGAGGAUCCGCGGUGAGAGGCUGUAA
rnacentral:rRNA from 1 species